AGUGAAAAAUAUAGAGAAUUGGGAAUUUAGAGAAGUGCACAGAGGGCUGAGAAAGCCAAGACGGACUUAAGGCUGGAUCACAAAUAUUUUGUGAUUAAUUCUUUUGCAGUGGACUUCCCCUGUUUUGCCCCCUUCCAAUUUUAGGUAUCAAGGAUGAGCUUGAAUUGUUAGUUUCGGGCUUAGGUGGAAAAGUUGGUGUUGAAGAAUUAUUUUAUUUUAUUUAGAUUUUUUUAUUUUUUUUUAUUUUUUUUUUUUGAGGAAAUUGAUUUUGUAUCAAUAAAGAGAUUUUGUGUAUUUCUUUU